rnacentral:rRNA from 1 species
GAUCCUACGGGAGGCAGCAGUGAGGAAUAUUGGUCAAUGGGCGAGAGCCUGAACCAGCCAAGUCGCGUGAAGGAUGACGGCCCUAUGGGUUGUAAACUUCUUUUGUCAGGGAGCAAUUGGGUCCACGCGUGGGCUUAGCGAGAGUACCUGAAGAAAAAGCAUCGGCUAACUCCGUGCCAGCAGCCGCGGUAAUACGGAGGAUGCGAGCGUUAUCCGGAUUUAUUGGGUUUAAAGGGUGCGUAGGCGGAAUAUCAAGUCAGCGGUAAAAAUUCGGGGCUCAACCGCGUCGUGCCGUUGAAACUGAU